UCUCCGUUGGUGAACCAGCGGAGGGAUCAUUACCGAGUUUACAACUCCCAAACCCAAUGUGAACCAUACCAAACUGUUGCCUCGGCGGGGUCACGCCCCGGGUGCGUCGCAGCCCCGGAACCAGGCGCCCGCCGGAGGGACCAACCAAACUCUUUCUGUAGUCCCCUCGUGGACGUUAUUUUUACAGCUCUGAGCAAAAAUUCAAAAUGAAUCAAAACUUUCAACAACGGAUCUCUUGGUUCUG
rnacentral:misc_RNA from 1 species